rnacentral:rRNA from 1 species
UACGUAGGGUGCAAGCGUUGUCCGGAUUUAUUGGGCGUAAAGAGCUCGUAGGCGGCUAAGUAAGUCAGGUGUGAAACCUCCAGGCUCAACCUGGAGACGCCACUUGAUACUGCUUUGGCUUGAGUUCGGUAGGGGUAAGCGGAAUUCCCGGUGUAGCGGUGAAAUGCGUAGAGAUCGGGAGGAACACCCGUGGCGAAGGCGGCCAUCUGGACCAGCACUGACGCUGAGGCACGAAAAGCGUGGGGAGCAAACAGG